rnacentral:tRNA from 4 species
GGGCGGGUAGUUCAGUGGGAGAACGUCUGCUUGACGCGCAGAAGGUCACAGGUUCGAUCCCUGUCCCGCCCACCA